GCCGGGGUGGUGAAACUGGUAGACGCACUGGACUCAAAAUCCAGCGGGGGAAACCCCGUGUCGGUUCGAUUCCGACCCUCGGCACCA
rnacentral:tRNA from 1 species